rnacentral:rRNA from 1 species
GGGGGGGGCCUAUAAUGCAGUCGAGCGAAUGGAUUAAGAGCUUGCUCUUAUGAAGUUAGCGGCGGACGGGUGAGUAACACGUGGGUAACCUGCCCAUAAGACUGGGAUAACUCCGGGAAACCGGGGCUAAUACCGGAUAACAUUUUGAACCGCAUGGUUCGAAAUUGAAAGGCGGCUUCGGCUGUCACUUAUGGAUGGACCCGCGUCGCAUUAGCUAGUUGGUGAGGUAACGGCUCACCAAGGCAACGAUGCGUAGCCGACCUGAGAGGGUGAUCGGCCACACUGGGACUGAGACACGGCCCAGACUCCUACGGGAGGCAGCAGUAGGGAAUCUUCCGCAAUGGACGAAAGUCUGACGGAGCAACGCCGCGUGAGUGAUGAAGGCUUUCGGGUCGUAAAACUCUGUUGUUAGGGAAGAACAAGUGCUAGUUGAAUAAGCUGGCACCUUGACGGUACCUAACCAGAAAGCCACGGCUAACUACGUGCCAGCAGCCGCGGUAAUACGUAGGUGGCAAGCGUUAUCCGGAAUUAUUGGGCGUAAAGCGCGCGCAGGUGGUUUCUUAAGUCUGAUGUGAAAGCCCACGGCUCAACCGUGGAGGGUCAUUGGAAACUGGGAGACUUGAGUGCAGAAGAGGAAAGUGGAAUUCCAUGUGUAGCGGUGAAAUGCGUAGAGAUAUGGAGGAACACCAGUGGCGAAGGCGACUUUCUGGUCUGUAACUGACACUGAGGCGCGAAAGCGUGGGGAGCAAACAGGAUUAG